UGAGUAACGCGUAGGUAACCUGCCUCAUAGCGGGGGAUAACUAUKGGAAACGAUAGCUAAUACCGCAUAAGAGUAAUUAACACAUGUUAGUUAUUUAAAAGGAGCAAUUGCUUCACUGUGAGAUGGACCUGCGUUGUAUUAGCUAGUUGGUGAGGUAAAGGCUCACCAAGGCGACRAUACAUAGCCRACCUGAGAGGGUGAUCGGCCACACUGGGACUGAGACACGGCCCAGACUCCUACGGGAGGCAGCAGUAGGGAAUCUUCGGCAAUGGACGGAAGUCUGACCGAGCAACGCCGCGUGAGUGAAGAAGGUUUUCGGAUCGUAAAGCUCUGUUGUUAGAGAARAACGUUGGUAGGAGUGGAAAAUCUACCARGUGACGGUAACUAACCAGAAAGGGACGGCUAACUACGUGCCAGCAGCCGCGGUAAUACGUAGGUCCCGAGCGUUGUCCGGAUUUAUUGGGCGUAAAGCGAGCGCAGGCGGUUCUUUAAGUCUGAAGUUAAAGGCAGUGGCUUAACCAUUGUACGCUUUGGAAACUGGAGGACUUGAGUG
rnacentral:rRNA from 1 species